AUUGAACGCUGGCGGCAGGCUUAACACAUGCAAGUCGAACGCAUCCUUCGGGGGUGAGUGGCAGACGGGUGAGUAACACGUGGGAACGUACCUUUCGGUUCGGGAUAACCCAGGGAAACUUGGGCUAAUACCGGAUACGUCCUUAGGGAGAAAGAUUCAUUGCCGAAAGAUCGGCCCGCGUCUGAUUAGCUAGUUGGUGAGGUAACGGCUCACCAAGGCGACGAUCAGUAGCUGGUCUGAGAGGAUGAUCAGCCACACUGGGACUGAGACACGGCCCAGACUCCUACGGGAGGCAGCAGUGGGGAAUAUUGGACAAUGGGCGCAAGCCUGAUCCAGCCAUGCCGCGUGAGUGAUGAAGGCCCUAGGGUUGUAAAGCUC
rnacentral:rRNA from 1 species